rnacentral:tRNA from 1 species
GGGCGAAUAGCUCAGUUGGGAGAGCACCUGCCUUACAAGCAGGGGGUCAUAGGUUCAAGUCCUAUUUCGCCCA